CCGUGCCCAAGAGACUGGGAUAACACCUGGAAACAGAUGCUAAUACCGGAUAACAACACUAGACGCAUGUCUAGAGUUUAAAAGAUGGUUCUGCUAUCACUCUUGGAUGGACCUGCGGUGCAUUAGCUAGUUGGUAAGGCAACGGCUUACCAAGGCAAUGAUGCAUAGCCGAGUUGAGAGACUGAUCGGCCACAUUGGGACUGAGACACGGCCCAA
rnacentral:rRNA from 1 species